rnacentral:rRNA from 1 species
CCUACGGGGGGCAGCAGUGAGGAAUAUUGGUCAAUGGGCGGAAGCCUGAACCAGCCAAGUAGCGUGCGGGAUGAAGGCCCUACGGGUCGUAAACCGCUUUUGCACGGGGAUAACACCCUCCACUUGUGGAGGUCUGCAGGUACCGUGCGAAUCAGGGCCGGCUAAUUCCGUGCCAGAAGCCGCGGUAAUACGGAAGGCCCGAGCGUUAUCCGGAUUCAUUGGGGUUAAAGGGAGCGUAGGCGGGCGGUCAAGUCAGCUGUAAAAUCGUGCGGCUCAACCGCGACCCGCAAUUGAAAAUGGACUCCUUGAGUUCACAACCGGCAGGCGGAAUUCGUGGUGUAGCGGUGGAAUGCAUAGAUCUCACGAGGAACCCCGAUUGCGAAGGCAGCCUGCCGGGGUGCGACUGACGCUGAGGCUCGAAGGUGCGGGUAUCAAACAAGAUUCGGUGCCCCUGGUAGUC